rnacentral:tRNA from 1 species
GGAGAGGUGCCGGAGUCUGGCUGAUCGGGCUUCCCUGCUAAGGAAGUGACGGGGUUCCCUCGUCCGUGGGUUCGAAUCCCACCCUCUCCG